rnacentral:misc_RNA from 1 species
AUAGAGAUGGCGGGCCCCCGCGCCCCCGUCCCCAACCCUUUGUCGACCAAACCACUUUUGCCUCGGGGGCAGAGCGGCCUCCGCCGCCCCCGGUGGACCAUUUAACCCUGUCUCUGUACGUCGGAGUCUUUGAUAAAUAAAUGA